GCCGGGCGCGGUGGCUCAUGCCUGUAAUCCCAGCACUCUGGGAGGCCGAGGCGGGUGGAUCACUUGAGGUCAGGAGUUCAAGACCAGCCUGGCCAACAUAGUGAAACCCCGUCUCUA
rfam:Pan troglodytes isolate Yerkes chimp pedigree #C0471 (Clint) chromosome 12, whole genome shotgun sequence.